AUGUGUUUUCAAUACCUCUUGAGCUGCUUCACCGGAGGAGACUACGAGUAUGGGGACACGGCCAAAAUGAAGGAGCAUGAGAGGUCCGUACCUGAGGCUGAGGGACCGGAGGGAACGGUGAGGGUGGAGGCUGAGCUGGUGGAGGUUUCCAAUCACCGGAAGUCGCCAUGGAGAUGGUGGUAGGUUCACUUUAGUGGCGGUUCGUUUGAGGAAUUUUCUAAGCAAUAGAAGGGUUAAGAGGGUCGUCAAGCAC
rnacentral:lncRNA from 1 species